AAAACAGUCCUUUUCAGGACUACACAAUAUCUACCAAUCAGAACACG
rfam:Acyrthosiphon pisum strain LSR1 Contig27374, whole genome shotgun sequence.